CCCUUGGUAAGUGAAUACACUCAUUUGCAUGCAUUGAAUAUUGGUCAAAUUGCAAGUGUGAAACAUAUCCCGACUCUUCUAGUUUUCUGGUGGAGGCAUGCAUAAGGCUGCUGGAGCAUGUCGACACAAAGGGCCUGUUCAGAAUAACUGGCUCUUUUGCCCACCUGAAAACACUGCAGAAAAAAUAAGAUUCUGAUGAGGAGUGCCUGUCCGCCUGUCUUCCUCGUGCCUGGUGAAGCAAUUCUUCAGGUAGUUGCCAGAACCUGCGCUACCCACCGAGAUGCAGGAGGCCUUCCUCAAGGCACAGCAUCUCCCCACCAAGAAGGGCCGCACCUGCGCCACCAUGCUGCUCUCUUGCGUCCUUCCCGGCAAAAACCAGAGUGUCAUGCGUCACUUCGCUGAGUUCCUGCAAAAAGUGUCCAAGAUGAGUGCAAAGAAUAAGAUGGACCGCAGUAACUUGUCGUUAAAUCUUGGCUCCC